rnacentral:lncRNA from 1 species
CGACGAGUUCUUUCGAUAGCAGGGUUGCGUCGCUUCGAUCUCCAACUUGCUAAUAAGUUCCGUAUUUAUCAAGUAUCGAACAAAUUAGAUCUUUGACCGACGGCCCAUCACUUUCUUCUUGAUCUAUUUACUAACCAGUUAUCAAUAUUUGGUAUUCUUUGCAAGGUUGAUUUAUUUAAUCUUGUGUAGUUUUGUUUUUAUCACACGUGAUCCAGGUUAGAUCGGCUGCGGUUACCUUUUAUUAUUUUGAGUUACUGCGUAGAAUAGAAUAUAGCCGAUUAUAUCGUAAAGUAGCAGUGAAUAAUCGGUACCCAUGUCCAUUGAGACUCGAGUAACUUCCAAAGAAAUCAAUGGAUCUAAGUGGCAACAUAUCGAUGUAUCGAACAAAUGCAAUCUAAAAAUAAAGAGAAAGUGUCAUUGUAAAUGUGCUAAGGCCGGGUGAAGCACAAAAAAUACCUUGGUGAUAAAUGAUAACACCAAUCGUAAGAGACCCUGCCAGUAAAACAGCAAGCAGUUAAACGUUUACACAUUACACAUAACUAGCUAACCAUUACAACGGAACUAGGAAUCAAAUGCAUUAUUUAAGUUGCAUAAGCAACUGUGCAUAAGUACCAUCAGGAUAAGCUUGCCUUGCCAGCUGGAGUGCAUCAGAAUUAGCUAAAUCUGCCCGAGCGCGUGGAGGUACGGUGCCACUAAGGAAUCCGCGGCGACUUGCAACUGCAGCCGCCGCCACGGGCGAGCUCGGAUGGCGCGCGGCGCGGUCACCUCAGACCCGGCCGUCGCCGUCCCGGAGGACGAGGACGCCUUGCCGUGACUGUCGGCCUCGCACAGGCUUGGCCGCGGGCACGCACGGCCGCCUCCCCGUCGCGGGGGCGCGCGAGCUGCUGUUGCGCGAGUGGGCCGCAUCGCGGGUAGGCGCGCUCCCCGC